GCAGUCGCCGCGGUAAUACGUAGGGCGCAAGCGUUGUCCGGAAUUAUUGGGCGUAAAGAGCUCGUAGGCGGUCUGUCGCGUCUGGUGUGAAAUCCCGAGGCUCAACCUCGGGCUUGCAUCGGGUACGGGCAGACUAGAGUGCGGUAGGGGAGACUGGAAUUCCUGGUGUAGCGGUGGAAUGCGCAGAUAUCAGGAGGAACACCGAUGGCGAAGGCAGGUCUCUGGGCCGCAACUGACGCUGAGGAGCGAAAGCAUGGGGAGCGAACAGGAUUAGAUACCCCCGUAGUCCCUGUCUCUUAUAC
rnacentral:rRNA from 1 species